UAAGAGGAAGAAAGUAGAGUUGACCUGGGAGGCGCCUAGCAACAGUGACUAUGGAGAUAUCUACUUCAGUGCCUCUGUGGUCCAGGACUACACCACAUUCUGGGUGCAACUCAGCAGCCGCACUCUGACACUGGACAGCAGUGGAAACUCUGCAGCUGGAGUCUUUUCCUCCUCAGUGCUGCUCUUCAUCAAUCUGCUGAGUCUGUCUGCCUACUGCUGAGACGGACGCACGCGCUCUCGCACACACACACACACACACACACACACACACACACACACACGCAUACACGCACGCACGCACACAAAAAUAUAACAGCUCCACCUACAGUAAGGAGAUCACAUGGACACAGGGGGCAGAAACAGGAGAUGUACCCAGAUGCAGGUGGUUUCCUGACAACCUCUCCAAUCCAGCUCAGAGGCCAGGAAGCAGACUCAGGGGGAGAGCGCAGAGAGGGAGGCCACAAAACUUAAAAUAUAUCUCUCUGUUGGGAAUAUAAUCCUGAAAAAAUCACCAAGGAACCUGAUUUCUGGUGCACUGUUUCAUUCUUUAGUGAAAGUUGUUCAGACAGUGUUGUACUUGCUAGCCUGGAUUUGAAUAUUAGCCCUCUGUAUCCAUAAAGCAGGAGAUUUA